GACGCACCUUGCAAACGUUAUUCGGAAUCACUGGGCUUAAAGGGUGCGUAGGCUGUGCAGCAAGUUGGGUGUGAAAUACCUCGGCUUAACCGAGGAAUUGCGCCCAAAACUACUGUGCUCGAGGAAGAUAGAGGUGAGCGGAACUUAGGGUGGAGCGGUGAAAUGCGUUGAUAUCCUAAGGAACACCGGUGGCGAAAGCGGCUCACUGGAUCUUAUCUGACGCUGAGGCACGAAAGCCAGGGUAGCGAACGGG
rnacentral:rRNA from 1 species